rnacentral:rRNA from 1 species
CUUGCCGCCGGCGACCGGCGCACGGGUGAGUAACACGUAUGCAACCUGGCCGUGACAGAUGGAUAACCGGGAGAAAUCCCGCCUAAUACAACAUAAUGCCGGGAGGGGACAUCCCCUGCCGGCCAAAGGGGGCGACCCCGGUCACGGAUGGGCAUGCGGCGCAUUAGGUAGUUGGUGGGGCAACGGCCCACCAAGCCGACGAUGCGUAGGGGUUCUGAGAGGAAGGUCCCCCACAUUGGAACUGAGACACGGUCCAAACUCCUACGGGAGGCAGCAG